UUUAAUACUAAUUUUUUACACUGCACUCCCUUUUUUACAAAUUUUUUUCAUUCUUACUCCUUGUUCAUACCAAAUUAAUUCUCAAAUCCACUCCAAAUCGUUGGUUAGAUUCGCGCGAUUCUCUUGCCACAGAAUUAAACUCCGGUGAUAAUCGACGAUUUCGGAAGCCUUUGAUUUCGACUGUCAGCCCCUUCCUUUUGGCGCCACAACCCGACGAUAAAGAUCACGAAGGGAGAUCGGAGAAAGUUGGGCGCGAUUUUGUCGCUGUCCACCGAUGAAUCUGUCUGUCGUUGUUCAGUGUUAUUUUGGUGUAGAUCUAAGGAGAAUCGAUUGCUGCCGAUCAAUGUCCGAGGCUGGUCGGGUCUGUUCGGAGGAGAGCUGUUAUCCAGCCGCGCCAAGCCGCCGAGUCGAUCGAUUUCAUCGACGCAAGAAUUGGAAAUUUAUUCAAUUCCAGAGUGUUUGUUCGAAUAAACUUAUCGAUCCGGGAUAUAUAUUCACAAUGAUCAUCCUAUUUUGCAGAAAAGUUGGAGCACUCAGGUAUGUUACUAUGUGCUUUGGGUACGAACACUGACACUUAAGGUAUGAAUAAUGAUUGCUUAGGUAUUAUCUGUAUAGUAUCAGGUAUCCGUGAAUAUGGUUGAUUUCAGUUGACCGCUGACGGAGGGGACAAUUCACAAA